rnacentral:tRNA from 1 species
AAAGUAAAAUUUGAAUUUACUACGGAUAGUUUCUAUCUGUGCUAGUGGUG